rnacentral:antisense_RNA from 1 species
ACCCCAUCCCCUUCAUGCACACCCCAUUCCAAAUGCUAUCCUGUCACAGCAGAUGCCACAUCACUUUUGGGGUGGGCUAAGAGAUCAAGGACAUAUGCCGUGCCCAAAUUUCAUCUAAUAAUUAAAAAUACGGGAAGAGAUACAAAAGGGAAAACACAGGAUGCUCUGGAAACUUGUUAUAGGCAGGGAGUGGGAAGGAGACCUAGAGCCAGAGGAAGCUACUACUGGAAAAAGGAGUAGAACUGAGCCAGGCAAAUAGGAGAGAAAAUGUAUUUCAGGCAGAAGAAACAGCACUCUGGAAACCCAACAUCUAGCCUUUGAGAAUGUAAAAUGAAGCCAGGAUGACACUACUAAUUCCAAGCUGUGUGUGUGUGCACGCAUGUGCAUGUAUGUGUGUAUAUAUUAGAUGUAUAUUUUAACAUUCUGACUUAACAUUAACAUAUUAAUAUUUAUUUAUUGAAAUAUUUAACGUGUAUUUUAAUAUUAAAUUCUGGAUUUCCAAACCA